GCUUAACACAUGCAAGUCGAACGGUAAGGCCCCUUCGGGGGUACACGAGUGGCGAACGGGUGAGUAACACGUGAGCAACCUACCCUUGACACCGGAANAACAGUUGGAAACAGCUGCUAAUGCCGGAUACGACCUUCGGUGACAUCACCUGAAGGUGGAAAGUGCUUAGCGGUCAAGGAUGGGCUCGCGGCCUAUCAGCUAGUUGGUGAGGUAACGGCUCACCAAGGCUUCGACGGGUAGCCGGCCUGAGAGGGCGACCGGCCACACUGGGACUGAGAUACGGCCCAGACUCCUACGGGAGGCAGCAGUGGGGAAUAUUGCACAAUGGGCGCAAGCCUGAUGCAGCAACGCCGCGUGCGGGAUGACGGCCUUCGGGUUGUAAACCUCUUUCAGCAGGGACGAAGCGGAAGUGACGGUACCUGCAGAAGAAGCACCGGCCAACUACGUGCCAGCAGCCGCGGUAAUAC
rnacentral:rRNA from 1 species